GGCCUUUAGCCCCAUAAGUAUUAAAGGUCCCACCUGCCCAGUGAAAACUUUUAAACGGCCGCGGUAUCCUAACCGUGCAAAGGUAGCGCAAUCACUUGCCCCUUAAUUAGGGGCUAGUAUGAACGGUUACAUGAGGGCUCACCUGUCUCCUAAGACUAAUCAAUGAACUUGAUAUUUCAGUACAAAAGCUGAAAUAAAAACACAAGACGAGAAGACCCUGUGGAACUUAAAGUGCCUGCAAGCAAACUCCAACGGGCACUACAAACCUCCCCCCACCUUGCAGGCACUUUCAGUUGGGGCAACUACGGAGAAAAACAAAACCUCCAUGCACUGCAGCUAACACCUGCCACCAAGGCCCACACGCCAACCCGCUCAGUACUAGACCCAGCAAUGCUGAUCUACGAACCAAGCUACCCCAGGGAUAACAGCGCUAUCCCCUUCAAGAGUCCGUAUCGACAAGGGGGUUUACGACCUCGAUGUUGGAUCAGGACCCCCAGGCGGUGCAGCCGCUGCCAAAGGUUCGUUUGUUCAACGAAUAAUGUCCU
rnacentral:rRNA from 1 species